UCGACGGCACGCGGGUUUCGACCUGGCGGCGAGUGGCGAACGGGUGAGGAAGACAUCGGAACGUGUUCACGAGAGGGGGAUAGCCCGGCGAAAGCCGGAUUAAUACCGCAUACACUCUGAGGAGAAAAGUAGGGGACCAAGUGGAAGAAAAAUCCACAAGGCCUUACGCUAGUGAGGCGGCCGAUGGCAGAUUAGCUAGUUGGUGGGGUAAAGGCCUACCAAGGCGACGAUCUGUAGCUGGUCUGAGAGGACGGCCAGCCACACUGGGACUGAGACACGGCCCAGACUCCUACGGGAGGCAGCAGUGGGGAAUUUUGGACAAUGGGGGCAACCCUGAUCCAGCAAUGCCGCGUGUGCGAAGAAGGCCUUCGGGUUGUAAAGCACUUUUAUCUAGAAAGAAAGCAUCUGAGUAAAUAAUUCAGAUAGAUGACGGUACUAGAAGAAUCAGCACCGGCUAACUACGUGCCAGCAGCCGCGGUAAUACGUAGGGUGCGAGCGUUAAUCGGAAUGACUGGGCGUAAAGGGUGCGCAGGCGGUUUGUUAAGACGGAUGUGAAAGCCCUGGGCUUAACCUAGGAAUGGCAUCCGUGACUGACAGACUA
rnacentral:rRNA from 1 species